GUCUAUGGCCAUACCACCCUGAAUGCACCCAAUCUCAUCUGAUCCUGGAAGCUAAGCAGGGUCUGGCCUGGUUAGUACUUGGAUGGGGGAAAAUACUUCUGUAUUUC
rnacentral:rRNA from 1 species